rnacentral:rRNA from 1 species
UGCCAGCCGCCGCGGUAAUACGGAGGGGGUUAGCGUUGUUCGGAAUUACUGGGCGUAAAGCGCGCGUAGGCGGAUUGGAAAGUUGGGGGUGAAAUCCCGGGGCUCAACCCCGGAACUGCCUCCAAAACUGACUUACUUGAGAUUGGUAGAGGAAAAUGGAAUUCCUAGUGUAGAGGUGAAAUUCGUAGAUAUUGGGAAGAACAUCGGUGGCGAAGGCGAUUUUCUGGGCCAAAUCUGACGCUGAGGUGCGAAAGCGUGGGGAGCAAACAGGAUUAGAUA